rnacentral:rRNA from 1 species
AUUAGAGUUUGAUCAUGGCUCAGAUUGAACGCUGGCGGCAGGCCUAACACAUGCAAGUCGGGCGGUAACACAGGGAGCUUGCUCCCGGGUGACGAGCGGCGGACGGGUGAGUAAUGUCUGGGAAACUGCCUGAUGGAGGGGGAUAACUACUGGAAACGGUAGCUAAUACCGCAUAACGUCGCAAGACCAAAGAGGGGGACCUUCGGGCCUCUUGCCAUCAGAUGUGCCCAGAUGGGAUUAGCUAGUAGGUGGGGUAACGGCUCACCUAGGCGACGAUCCCUAGCUGGUCUGAGAGGAUGACCAGCCACACUGGAACUGAGACACGGUCCAGACUCCUACGGGAGGCAGCAGUGGGGAAUAUUGCACAAUGGGCGCAAGCCUGAUGCAGCCAUGCCGCGUGUAUGAAGAAGGCCUUCGGGUUGUAAAGUACUUUCAGCGGGGAGGAAGGUGUUGUGGUUAAUAACCACAGCAAUUGACGUUACCCGCAGAAGAAGCACCGGCUAACUCCGUGCCAGCAGCCGCGGUAAUACGGAGGGUGCAAGCGUUAAUCGGAAUUACUGGGCGUAAAGCGCACGCAGGCGGUCUGUCAAGUCGGAUGUGAAAUCCCCGGGCUCAACCUGGGAACUGCAUUCGAAACUGGCAGGCUAGAGUCUUGUAGAGGGGGGUAGAAUUCCAGGUGUAGCGGUGAAAUGCGUAGAGAUCUGGAGGAAUACCGGUGGCGAAGGCGGCCCCCUGGACAAAGACUGACGCUCAGGUGCGAAAGCGUGGGGAGCAAACGGGAUUAGAUACCCUGGUAGUCCACGCCGUAAACGAUGUCGACUUGGAGGUUGUGCCCUUGAGGCGUGGCUUCCGGAGCUAACGCGUUAAGUCGACCGCCUGGGGAGUACGGCGCAAGGUUAAA